UAAAUUUAUUUUCUACUUUUAAUAUUCAGUGAAUCAAUGCAUUUCUGAAUUAAAAUAUAUUGUAUAAAUUUGUUAUAAUACAAUAUGCAUGCAACAAAAAUACCGAUACCGAUAUUUUGAAUUUAGGGCCGAUAUACCGAUAAGCUGAUAUGAUAUGGAUAUCGGUGCAUCACUAAAAAAGUCUGCGGAGAUUUUUUCCACGAUUGUAGUUCAAACUGUCGAACUUCAGUUGAAUAUUGAAUGGCAAGGUGCUAUUAAU